rnacentral:snRNA from 1 species
GUGCUCACUUCAGCAGCACACAAACUUAAAACUAGAGCGAUACAGAGAAGAUUAGCAUGGCCUCUGGGCAAGGAUGACACACAAACUGGUGACACGUUCCAUAAUUUC